UACGGAGGGUGCGAGCGUUAAUCGGAAUCACUGGGCGUAAAGCGCACGUAGGCGGUGUCGUAAGUCGGAUGUGAAAGCCCUCGGCUCAACCGGGGAACUGCAUUCGAUACUGCGAUGCUUGAGUGCCGGAGAGGGUGGCGGAAUUCCAGGUGUAGGAGUGAAAUCCGUAGAUAUCUGGAGGAACACCGGUGGCGAAGGCGGCCACCUGGCCGGCAACUGACGCUGAGGUGCGAAAGCGUGGGGAUCAAACAGG
rnacentral:rRNA from 1 species